UUUUAACUGUUCUGAUUCUCAGGUUUUCAGAUAAAUGGUGUGCUUCACCAAAAAAAAAAGGCUGUUAGGCAUUAUUAACAACAUUUUUCCUUUGUUUUUCUUUUCUUUCUUCAGCCUGGCAGUGGACAAAAAAUGAAGUGACCAGACCAGGAUGGUGUGAGUUCAGAAAUGCAGGGUGAUCCUUCAGGAGGGGGCUGCCCGAGAAGCUUCAGCCACCUUUCUAACUAGGCAGACCAGAGGUGAGCUGCAGUGCCAGGGGGUGCCAGCCGUGCCCAGGUGAGCUGCAGUGCCAGGAGGUGCCAGCCCUGCCCCAUCUCGUGUUGCAGGCAUGGCUGCAGUGCCAUGUCUGUGUCAUUCGGUGGCAGACAGCAACAGGCGAGGUCUUCCCUGGUGCUCUGAGCCCUGUGAGCUCUCAGGAUUGCUCAACAACCUCACAUUUCAGUUCUUUUCCCUGCUCUCUUGCCUUUAAUGGGGAAUGGUGGAGGAUGGACACUGUCCUUUAGCCCGUCCCUGUAUCCACGUGGUGCUGUUUGUCACUGUCCCCUCUCGAGGGACACCCAGAGCAGCUCUGGGCACGCAGAGAUUGUGACCCUGAGCUUUGCAGUGAGUGGCUCUGGCACUGCUGAAUGGGAAACCUCAUUAAACGGCCAUUAGAGGGCCAGAGGGGCCUCAGUGGUGCAAAGUGAGCCCUUCAAUUGGCAAAAGUCACUGGCUUUGGAGAAGAAUGUUAAUGAGGCUGUGGGGAUGUGGUUCUGCUUGAGGAUGUGGCUCUUUUAUUUAAAUUUCUUGACUUCUUUUAACCCUGCAAUGCGUGUUUGGGGUUUUUCAUCAGGCUUUGCUCACUCCUAAUGAGUGUCUCUAGGGCUCCCUGUGAGGCACAGCAGAACCAUGAACAUUUUCCUGAUGGCAUUUGUGGAACUGCCCUUCCCCAGGCAGCACUCCUGGGCCAUGGAGAUUGCUUUGCUGAAGGAAAAACUGGCUCUGAGCUGUGGAAAACGUGAAUGUUUUACAUGAAAGUGGUUUAGAGAGGAAUUAAAAAUCUCUCUGCACAUAGCACAGCCCUUCAUCAUCAAGGACUGGUUUAUGUCAUGGCUUUAAAGCUGGAAUAAGCUCAGAUUUUUUUUUUCCCUGCACUAUUAAUAGCUUGGCUCUGCACCACGGUUGGCAAACUCACCUUGGAUUUUUAGGGAGUGAUGGAAUAACCCAGAGCAGGCUCCAGCUAUCCUGCUCUUAAAUUAUCCCUUUCCUAAACUCCCCCAGCCAGAUAUUUUUCCAAAACCCUUUGAUGUCCUGCCAAAAAGCUUCUCCUAAAUUUGUGCCAUGUCCUUCUGGGCUGAAGGAAAUCCCUGUCUCAAAGUUUCCUAGUGAACCCUGAUAACAGCCUUAAAAUCUUUCAUUUUAUAUUUCAUCUUUAUUUCCUCUGGGAUCUGAAAACUCCUGAGACAGACCCAAGACAGUGAGAGCAGCAGAGUCUGCAUGGCAAGGGUUAAUUAAAUAGCUCAUUAGUAUUGAUUUUAUUGCUCCCUUUUCUUGCCUGUUUUUCAACUUUUCUGACAUCUUGGGCCUUAUUUUUUUAUUUGCAGAUUAUGCCUUGAGCUGCAGAAUGUCUGACAAACUGAGAACUGCUUGGCAGCAUCCACGUCUGAUGGCUUGGAGAUUCCUAAAAACUUGAUCAUCUGUGUUUUCUCUACAUGGUUAAGAAGGAUUUAAAUUAAAAAAGCCUAAAUAAAGAUGCCACCUACAAGACUGAAAGGA